CACAGGUGAAAUGUGUGAGAAGUCAGGUGAGACAUAUCGGAAGUCAGAUGACAUGGCGUAAUAAGGUGAUGGUUAUAGCUUGAAAACAACCUCAGAUGCAGGUGGACUGCUGAAUCCUGACUACUGGCUUUGCUGUGUUGCGUCAUGUGCUCCUGGUGCACACACUUAUACACAAGAAGAAGGUCACAUCUUGAGCCACCAGAUACUCCUCAACAGCAUGGAUGACUUCCUCAUCACUAUGAAAAUGGUGAUCAAGCAAGUGGAAUUUACACAGUGCUGUUCAGGCUGCUUGGACUCCACCAUACUGACCACAGAGGUGCAGAUUCUCGCCAGCACGUCCUCCCUACUUAUCGCUGACUCGAGGUGUCACAGGACCAACAACAGCGGUGACAGUUGAAGCGAGCUGAUGUGACGACUCAACCUUGAGGACAGCACAUCACCUCUGAAGGCAGGUCACCUCUCAACCUGUCCGGGACGUAUUUGUGUUCACUCCUGUCCUCCUCAACUGGGUUUAGUGCUGGCAAUAUUUAAGAAUCAUUACGGUUGCUUCAACUAUUCAAGCAUCCUGGGAGUUGUGUGUAUGUUUUUAGGUCCAAUGUUCAGUGUCAGUGCAAACAGCAAUGUGUGCUGCUGCAUGCACCAGACUGUAGUUCACAUCCUGUCUGGGACCUGCAAAUGACAAUCUUUGAUAAGGUCGGCACAAACGUGGCCCAUUAGGCCACCGCUGCAUCUCAAGUAUGUUGAAAAAUUGUCAUUGCUCUGCUUUGAUCCACUAAACUGCCUCAGAUGUCUGAUUAUUUCAACCAACAUCUACUGGAAUCCAGCUGCACACAACAAUAGCAGGUGUCCUAUUUUCUUCAACGGAUCCUGUCGUAGCUUGUUUCAGUGUGUACCAACUGGGCAUUAUAAAACAUGUAAAACAAAUAUAAUUUCCUCUUCACUAGAAGGAAAAUUUUCAGUUUUAAGCACUGCUUUGACACACUUGGAAAAAGUACAACUAAAUUAAAGUACUUCGCUUUCUCCUGAAAGGCAAAGCACUACAUCCACAUGCAUUUUCAAACCACAGAAACACAAAAUUAGCCUUUUUUUUGUAAUUUACUGCAGUGUACCUAUAGCCUGGGUGCAUCAGCCUUAUUAACUUCCUCGACACACAGUAAAGCAUACGGAACAAGAGUAGAAUAGCGGAGUCAAGAGGUUGAGGUGCAUGAUUCUAGUCUGUCAGAAAAAAAAAAGACAGGUCAUAAACUUUAGUUUCCUCCAGCAGCAUCAGAUCACUGACCUCAGCAGGAAGAGAAUGGACCUGCAGUGUGAGAUCAGACAUUAGGGCAGCACGACUGGGCUUGGGAGACCCACCACCACGCUCACAGUAAUCAUAUGACUCCAGGAGCUCAAGCACUGAAAAUGUUUCCACCGCUGUCGCCACCUCUGCAUACAUUUCAGCAAACUAAAGGAAGAAUUUAGCCCAAGACAAUAAGGGCGCUGAAGUACAGAGUGUGUGGGUAUGAAUUAAAACUUCAGCAUGGUGACAACAACAAAGUAACCAUUGUACUUUUCCGGGAAAUGUAUGUUUGUUUUAUUAAAAAAAAUAUACCCAUAAACAACAGAGUCCUUUAUAGAAGUAGUCAAAGGAAAUAGGGAUGACAGAGGGAGAAAGCGUUUGAUAAAUUGACAGUAUCUGGUCAACCUUUUAUGUAAACUGAGAUCAUGCAUAAAAGGAAAUCUCUUUGACGACCACCUAAGUCCUUACUCAAAGGUCACUGAAUAACACGAUUGAACAUAUAUUUUUAGAGAGUUGUUAAAUCAAUGAAAUGUUAGGAAUUACUGAGAACAAUGCACAGCAUAUGGAUGUCAUUCAGAGAAAAUAAGUGUCUCUAACAUCUGUGAAGUUGAAUUGUUUUCUUGCAUACUGAUUCAGAGGAAAAAGUCGAAGAAUUAGCAGACUGACAGGGUCUUGCAGGCUCAGCUUUGCUUUUGGCCUGCCACUGAAAACAAGCCAGAUGAAGAUGGAAAGGCUAACCUUAAGAGACAUCACAAGCAUUCAUUAUCAUGCUGUCUUUGGCAUUCUCUGGGAUACGUGAUAUUUAACAAAGAGACUUUUCCUUGCCCUGCUUUUAAUUAACACGGAGGAAAAUGACCUUUUUGAGUUGUCAGAGCCUGUGCCACCGUCAAAGAGGAAAGUGGAGGAAAUCUGUUUUUAGAUAUUACCUAUAUAUCUAAGUCUGUACAACAGUGUAAUUUUAUGGCGAUAUGUAAAAGAACACGUCAAUAUUUGUAAAAAUGCAGAUUUUUGAUGUGGACAUCAUGUACAGUUUUGACCUUUUUGAUGGCCAACAUUUAAAUUAAUAAUGAUAAUUAAUAAUGUCAAUUUUACUAGAUCAGUGGUUCUCAACCCUGUUCCUCAGGACCCCAUGUCCUGCAUGUUUUAGAUGCUUCCCUGCUCCAACACACCUGACUCAAAUGAUCAGCUCGUCAUCAGGCUUCUGCAGAGGCUUGCUGACGAGCUGAUCAUUUGAAUCAGGUGUGUUGGAGCAGGGAAGCAUCUAAAACAUGCAGGA